UCCGCUAUCUGCCUCACUGCUGACCCCUCCGGCGGCCGCUCCCAGGGUGGGGUCCGCGGAGGAGGCCCCGCCCUCGCCCCUCAAGGCCCAGUCCUCGCCCUCCAUUGGCUGCCUCGUUGAAUAUGCAAUCGCGGGGGCGGGGCGCUGGGGAGACCAAGGCUGAUGGAUACAUUGUAACGCGGCACCGGACCGCCCCUGGGCGGUCCCUCCGGCCCCACCCGCCCAGGCCGGGCCGGCUGGGCAGCUCCCGGCCUAAUCAAUCUCGCCCCUGCGUCGGCUGCAGUCAUCUCGGUCCUUUCCAGUUGUUUUAUCCACACCCCCUCCCCAGCUCCGUCGCCGGUGUUCCUCUUCUCGCUGUUGGUCUGCUUGUUUUUGCGACUGUCCCUCUGUCUCUGUCUCUUCUGUCUCCGCCCGGUCUGCGGCUUCCCUCUCCUCCUUCACCCCCUCACUUACGCUCUUCUCCCUCCCUCCUCCGCUAUCGCCGUAGGACCCUCCCCUCCACUUAAUUCUUUCCAUCUGCAGAAUCGCUCUGCGGGCCGGCUGCGCCGAGGGGGGCCGGGUUCCUGCCCCAGGAAGAACUCCCCGUCCCCACACCCCCGCCCUCCUCCUCUUCUCCCUUCUCAUAUUUCUGCUCUCGGCCCGCCUCGCUCCUUGCCCCUCGAGUCUGCUUCUGUCCUUAGCGUGUCGCCAAAACUCCAGCUGGGGCCAGGGGAUCUCGGGAACCAAGAUCUGUCCGGAGGGAGCCCUGUCCUCGCUGGACACUCCCGGAGCCCUAGGGCCUUCAUCCGCUCAGCGGCGGGACGUUCUGUGGGACCCAGUGGCGGGCGAGGCCCAGCUCACUGUGCCCACAAAGCGGAACUGAUCGGUAUCAAGCCUAUUUGCUUAAAAAAAGAAGGCACCUGAUCGUUGGGAAUAAAUGUGAUGACCCUCUCACUCCCGGAAAUGAACAAGGUUGUCAUGGAACUCUGCUUCUCUCUGAGCUUCCACAGUCGUUCCUGGGCAGAGCCUGGUGGGCGAUCAGGAAAGAUUUGCUGGGCUGAAGACUGGGUGGAUAAAGAGAUGGAUGUGUGAA